ACAACAGCUACUACCGAUUGAAUGAUUUAGUGAGGUCUUCGGACUGGCAGUCUCUGCGGCUCUCGGAUCGCGGUGGCCCGCCGGGAAGAUGACCGAACUUGACCAUUUAGAGGAAGUAAAAGUCGUAACAAGGUUUUCGUAGGUGAACCUGCGGAAGG
rnacentral:ncRNA from 1 species